CAGCACAACAGCUGAGGGGAGGCGUGUUCGUAGCGUCCGUGGAAGCCGUAGUUUCUGUCGUCUCUCUCUAAGCGGCGUGCGUGUGUGUGUUUUAGCACGUCAACUUUCGCGGCAACUUUCGGUUCUCCUAUUUUUUUCCGACUUACUUCUUCUUUCGGCUUCGUCUUCUUCCGGCUCCCGGUGAUUUCUUCUUCUGUGCCCGAGCUUCGAAAGUAGCCCCCGCAACAUCGACCCAGAGCAAUGGAACGUGACAAGGCAUCCGACCAGCUCAAGGAAUACAAGGAGACCCACAAGCCGGAGCCCCUGACCACCUCGUGGGGUGCCCCCGUCUCGGACAAGACCAAUGUGCUCACCGUUGGACCCCGCGGUCCCGUGCUGCUGCAAGAUGUCGUCUUCCUCGACGAAAUGGCGCACUUCGACAGGGAGCGUAUCCCGGAGCGUGUCGUCCACGCCAAGGGCGCCGGAGCGUUUGGCUACUUCGAAGUGACCCACGACAUCACCAAGUACACCAAGGCCUCCAUCUUCAGUCAGGUUGGCAAGAGGACUCCCAUGGCCGUGCGCUUCUCCACCGUCGGUGGAGAGAGUGGCUCAGCGGACACUGUUCGUGAUCCUCGUGGCUUCGCCGUCAAGUUCUACACUGAUGAAGGCAACUGGGAUCUUGUUGGCAACAACACACCCAUCUUCUUCAUCCGGGACCCAUUCUUCUUCCCUAGUUUCAUCCACACGCAGAAGCGGAACCCGGCCACCCACCUGAAGGAUGCCGACAUGUUCUGGGACUUCAUCAGCCUCCGCCCAGAGACCACGCACCAGGUCAUGUUCCUCUUCUCCGACCGUGGUAUCCCCGACGGUUACAGGCACAUGAAUGGCUAUGGCUCGCACACCUUCAAGCUGGUCAACUCCAAGGGCGAAGCUGUCUACUGCAAGUUCCACUACAAGACUGACCAGAAGAUCAAGAACCUGCCCGUGCAGAAGGCAGACGAAUACGCAUCCAAGGACCCCGACUAUUCCAUUCGUGACCUCUACAAUGCCAUCGCCAACAAGCAGUACCCAUCUUGGACCUUCUACAUCCAAGUUAUGACCUUUGAACAGGCAAAGACCUGGAAGUUCAACCCCUUCGACUUGACAAAGGUGUGGCCUCAUAGCGAGUUCCCCUUGAUUCCGGUGGGCAAGAUGGUGCUGGACCGCAACCCGAAGAACUACUUCUCCGAAGUGGAGCAGAUUGCUUUCUGUCCUGCAAACCUUGUACCGGGCAUCGAGCCCAGUCCCGACAAGAUGCUUCAGGGACGUCUGUUCUCCUACAGCGACACGCACAGGCACCGCCUUGGACCCAACUUCUUGCAGAUCCCGGUGAACUGCCCCUACAAGGCACGCACAGCCAACUACGAGCGCGAUGGUUUUAUGGCUGUGAAGGAACAAGAUGGAGCACCAAACUACUUCCCAAACAGCUUCUCUGGACCGGUGGAUAACCCCAAGCUGAAGGAGCACAGCUUCCCAGUUUCUGGUGAUGUUGACCGUUGGAACAGUGGUGACGAGGACAACUUCACUCAGCCAGGCAACUUCUGGAAGAUGCUGAGUGCUGAGGAAAGGGACCGCUUGACCUCCAACAUUGCCAACCACCUGAAGGAUGCUCAGGACUUCAUCCGCCAGCGGGCUGUAACAAACUUCACCAAGGCACACCCCGAAUGCGGUGGCCAGAUCGCCAAGAAGCUUGAAAAGCUCGUGCAGUCUUCUUCAGUGAAGAAUGUGUUUCCAAAUCGAUUUUUCCCAAAGUAGCGACAACUUUGCGCUCGACUGAAGCAAAGCCAUUAAUUCUGAGACCUGGUUCUUGCGCCGCUCCAGCAACACAGCUAGCGCGAAACUUUGAGGAUCAUCUACUACAUGAACCCUUCACUGAGCUACUUCAUCCUGGGAGAUGGUGCACAUAGGCCUUAAUCUGCUGCCAAUAACUGUUGCUGUUUCACGGGCGCUGCGUCACGUUACUCACCAGCACUGCUGCUAUGGUGUCCUUUACUUAACUUGAUUGUUAUACUUCCCUUUUCUUCUUGUUGCUGGUCAAUAAACAUUUGUUUGCUCUUUU